AGAGUUUGAUCCUGGCUCAGGAUAAACGCUAGCGGCAGGCCUAACACAUGCAAGUCGAGGGGCAGCACGACGUAGCAAUACGUUGGUGGCGACCGGCGGACGGGUGCGCAUCGCGUGAGCAACCUACCUCUUUCAGGGGGAUAACCCGGCGAAAGCCGGACUAACACCGCAUGUUUUGUCGGAGGGGCAUCCCUUCGUCAACAAAUAUUUAUAGGGAAGAGAUGGGCUCGCGUCCCAUUAGCUAGUUGGUGGUGUAACGGACCACCAAGGCGACGAUGGGUAGGGGUUCUGAGAGGAUUCACCCCCACACCGGAACUGAGACACGGUCCGGACUCCUACGGGAGGCAGCAGUGAGGAAUAUUGGACAAUGGGCGAAAGCCUGAUCCAGCCAUGCCGCGUGCAGGAUGACGGCGCUAUGCGUUGUAAACUGCUUUUGUUCGGGAACAAUGGCGCCUACGCGUAGGCGUUUGAGUGUACCGUUCGAAUCAGCACCGGCUAACUCCGUGCCAGCAGCCGCGGUAAUACGGAGGGUGCAAGCGUUAUCCGGAUUCAUUGGGUUUAAAGGGUGCGUAGGCUGCUUUGUAAGUCAGUGGUGAAAUCAUCGAGCUUAACUCGAUGCCUGCCAUUGAUACUGCAGAGCUUGAGUAUAAUCGACGUGAGAGGAAUGCGACAAGUAGCGGUGAAAUGCAUAGAUAUGUCGCAGAACACCGAUAGCGAAGGCAUCUCACGAGGUUAUCACUGACGCUGAUGCACGAAAGCGUGGGUAUCAAACAGGAUUAGAUACCCUGGUAGUCCACGCUGUAAACGAUGAUAACUGGGUUUUUAUGUUUCGAUGUAAGAGCCUGAGCGAAAGCAUUAAGUUAUCCACCUGGGGAGUACGUUCGCAAGUAUGAAACUCAAAGGAAUUGACGGGGGCCCGCACAAGCGGAGGAACAUGUGGUUUAAUUCGAUGAUACGCGAGGAACCUUACCCGGGUUUAAAUGUAGAUUGCAUAAAGCAGAGAUGUUUUUUUCCUUCACGGGACUAUUUACAAGGUGCUG
rnacentral:rRNA from 1 species